CCUACGGGAGGCAGCAGUGGGGAAUAUUGGACAAUGGGGUUACCCCUGAUGCAGCGACGCCGCGUGAGUGAAGAAGUCUCUCUGUACGUAAAGCUCUAUCAGCCAGGAAGCAAAUGACGGUACCUGACUAGUAAUCCCCAGCUCACUACGUUCCAGCAGCCGCUGUAAUAAUUAGGGGACAAGCGGUAUCCGGGUUUACUCGGUGGAAAGUGGGCGUAGACGGCAGGACAAGGUGCGAGUGAAAUCCCGGGGCUUAACCCCCGAACUGCUUUGGAAACUGUCCGGCUGGAGUGCAGGAGGGGUAAGCGGAAUGCCUAGUGUAGCGGUGAAAUGCGUAGAUAUUAGGAGGAACACCGGUGGCGAAGGCAGCUUACUGGACUGCAACUGACGUUGAGGCUCGAAAGCGUGGGGAGCAAACAGGAUUAGAUACCCCUGUAGUC
rnacentral:rRNA from 1 species